AGCAGCCGCGGUAAUUCCAGCUCCAAUAGCGUAUAUUAAAGUUGUUGCAGUUAAAAAGCUCGUAGUUGAAUUUCGGGAUUGGCGCAUCGGUCGUGCCUCACGGGGUAUGAACUGGUGCAGUCAAUUUCUCACCUUCUGGAGAACCGCGAUGUCCUUAAUUGGAUGCCGCGGGGAACCAGGACCUUUACUUUGAAAAAUUAGAGUGUUUAAAGCAGGCAUUUUUGCUUGAAUACAUUAGCAUGGAAUAAUAAAAUAGGACGGCAUGGUUCUAUUUUGUUGGUUUCUAGGACCACCGUAAUGAUUAAUAGGGAUAGUUGGGGGCAUUAGUAUUCAAUUGUCAGAGGUGAAAUUCUUGGAUUUAUUGAAGACUAACUACUGCGAAAGCAUUUGCCAAGGAUGUUUUCAUUAACCAAGAACGAAAGUUAGGGGAUCGAAGACGAUCAGAUACCGUCGUAGUCUUAACCAUAAACUAUGCCGACUAGGAAUCAGACGAUGUUAAUUUUUAAUGACUCGUUUGGCA
rnacentral:rRNA from 1 species